AGACGUGUUGCUCGACAUCUUUGA
rnacentral:siRNA from 1 species